UGGGGAAUAUUGCACAAUGGAGGGAACUCUGAUGCAGCGACGCCGCGUGAACGAAGAAGGCUUUCGAGUCGUAAAGUUCUUUUAUAUGGGAAGAUAAUGACGGUACCAUAAGAAAAAGCCCCGGCUAACUACGUGCCAGCAGCCGCGGUAAUACGUAGGGGGCUAGCGUUGUCCGGAAUCACUGGGCGUAAAGGGUUCGCAGGCGGAAAUGCAAGUCAGGUGUAAAAGGCAGUAGCUUAACUACUGUAAGCAUUUGAAACUGCAUAUCUUGAGAAGAGUAGAGGUAAGUGGAAUUUUGAGUGUAGCGGUGAAAUGCGUAGAUAUCGGGAAGAACACCGAUGGCGAAGGCAGCCUGCUGGGCCGGCACUGACGCUGAGGCGCGAAAGCUAGGGGAGCAAACAGG
rnacentral:rRNA from 1 species